CUCAUCUUCCCAACGGCAGAUCAGCUCAAUCAACCUUAUCCUCCCAUCCAGGUGAAGGCUAUAAAAGGGAAUCAAUGCGUGAAGGCUAUAAAAGGGAAUCAAUGCGUGAGGAUGAAGGCAAGCUUGGGGGGUCCGGUUCCAGGAUCUCUUCGGAGAACAGGGGAGAAGCCAAGUUCCCACGAAAAAAAUAA